rnacentral:rRNA from 1 species
UGGAAGUAAAAGUCGUAACAAGGUUUCCGUAGGUGAACCUGCGGAAGGAUCAUUAUUGGAAAAAUCCCAUUGGAAUUUAGGAAGGAAGGCGCAACAUACGAGGAGUGGAGACUGUCGCUGGCCUUUAUCCCCUCAUCCUUAUCUCUUGCAGUAUGGACAUGGACAUGGGCAUGUGCACGUCUUCCUUUUCGUUCCACCUUCUUUUCUAUUUCCUCUCACACCUGUGCACUCUUUGUAGGCCCUCGGAAAAAAAGAGGCUCUACGUUCUUUAUCUACACUUUCAUCACAAGUCUAGAAUGUAUCAAACAUAAUAUUACAACUUUCAGCAACGGAUCUCUUGGCUCUCGCAUCGAUGAAGAACGCAGCGAAUUGCGAUAAGUAAUGUGAAUUGCAGAUUUUCAGUGAAUCAUCGAAUCUUUGAACGCACCUUGCGCUCCUUGGUAUUCCGAGGAGCAUGCCUGUUUGAGUGUCAUUCGACUUCUCAACCAUGGCCCCCUUGAUCAUUCAUUUCAAGGACCAUGGCUUGGAGUGUUGGGGGUUGCUGGCAGCCAACAUUGGAUGGUCAGCUCUCCUGAAAUGCAUUAGCGAUGGGCAAGCAAGUCUGACGUGCACGGCCUUUCUGACGUGAUAAUGAUAUAACGAUCGUCAUCGUCGUGGGCUGGAGCGUCCGGAUGAGCAUGAAUUUGUCUGUUUGCUUCCCAAUCCCUUCAGACUUUUUGGACCUUCAGGGGGGGAAGAAAAGGGGGUGGUAACUUCAAGGCUUCUAGUUACUAGUCGGUCGCAAGGUCGACGAACACAGGACCCUGUGCGCGCCCCCCUCUUAGACCUUUUUGAAGGAUCGCAAGUCACCUCGAUCUUGACAUUUGACCUCAAAUCAGGUAGGACUACCCGCUGAACUUAAGCAUAUCAAUAAGCGGAGGA